AUUGAACGCUGGCGGCAGGCCGAACACAUGCCGGUCGACCGAGUGGAGGACGGGUGAGUAAUGUGUGGGAAACUGCCUGGUGGAGGGGAAUAACUACUGGACACGGGAGCUAAUACCGCAUACCAUCGGAUGUGCCCAGAUGGGAUUAGCUAGUAGGUGGGGUAAAGGCUCACCUAGGCGACGAUCCCUAGCUGGUCUGAGCGGAUGACCAGACACACGGGAACGUAGACUCUUUCCAGACUCCUACGGGAGGCACCAGUGUGGAAUAUUGCCCAAUCGGCGCCAGCCUGAGACAGGCAUACCGCGUGUAUGAAGAAGGCCUGCGGGUGGUCAAGUCCCUUCAGCGGGGAGGCGUUACCCCAAGAAGAGGCCCCGGCUAACUCCGAGCCAGCCGCCGCGGUAAUUC
rnacentral:rRNA from 1 species